UUACUCCUACGGGAGGCAGCAGUGGGGAAUAUUGCGGCUGCAUGGGCGCAAGCCUGAUGCAGCCAUGCCGCGUGUAUGAAGAAGGCCUUCGGGUUGUAAAGUACUUUCAGCGGGGAGGAAGGUGUUGAGGUUAAUAACCUCAGCAAUUGACGUUACCCGCAGAAGAAGCCCAUCCCACGGCUAACUCCGUGCCAG
rnacentral:rRNA from 1 species